CAAAUUUAAAAUCUACCUGGUUUCCAGGUCGAGUUGUAAUUUGAAGAUACGUUUUUGACGUUCCGGGUUGAACUAAAUCCUUUGGGAUAAGGUAUCAUGGAGGGUGAGAAUCCCGUAUAUACCAACCRUAGGGAUGUUAUUUAAUACGUUUCUAAGAGUCGAGUUGUUUGGGAAUGCAGCUCUAAAUGGGUGGUAAAUUUCACCUAAUGCUAAAUAUAAGCGAGAGACCGAUAGCGAACAAGUACAGUGAUGGAAAGAUGAAAAGAACUUUGAAAAGAGAGUUAAAUAGUAYGUGAAAUUGUUGAAAGGGAAACGAUUGAAGUCAGUCAUGCCMGUGGGAAUCAACUUWGAGGAAACUCUGAGUGCACUUYUUCGCUUGGCAGGUCAACGUCGAUUUUGGAUGUCAUAAAAWGAUUGGGGGAAGGUAGCUCYUUCGGGAGUGUUAUAGCCCUUGGUAGAUGUGAUGUCUGGGAUCGAGGAUUGCAAUGGAUACCCUUUGGGGCUAGCCGCCUGAUCUCUAAUYGGUAUUGGGUUACGGAUAGCAUGCUGACCGUGAUCUAAUUAUUGGUUAAAAGGUUAG
rnacentral:rRNA from 1 species